CCUCAAAACAUUUCAGCCAUAAUCACAUCAACCAUAGUAUCAGAACACACUGUAGGCCUCAACAAGAAAAGGCAAGCCUUUGAAAUUUGGUAAUUUCUGCCUAGUUGUCUCUCAUUCUCUUUUUUUAACAAUACAAACAUGAAAUACAUAGGAAUCUAAAAGUUGAAAUGAUGAUCUAGCUGAUCCAACAACUAGUUGAAUACACAAUCCUAUGCAAAUGGAUUUCCGCCAAUAGCAGCAACUUGACCGUGUGUCGGCACAUUCGAUAUUUGAUUGCCAGCUGGUUGUGAGGAAACAAAUAAUGUCCCAUGCUGUCCAGCAGGACCAUAAGCUGUUGCUGGGUUCUGAGGAAACCAAGAUUCGGUCACACCACCAACAAAAGAAGAUGACAUCCCAUCACUUGGCAAUGCAGCCUGUAAUGAGCUCAUGUCCCAGUACUGCGGCAUAUUGCUGCAUUCCAUGUCAGCAUCGUAAGGGAGAUCAAAUGGGUUGUUGGACUUCUGCUCAUUUGCAUGUGAAUGCACUCCUGUCGCUACAGGAAGAGUGGACAAUCCAGAUGACGAGGCACUGACAUAUGAUGGAAAACUGGUAAUAGGAUAUCCACUAUCCAGCACAGCUCUUUGACUUUGACCUGUCACUGCAUUCUCUACUCCUCUUAAGCCCAUGUACUGAUCAUCAACUAGAUCAUGGUUCAUUACAACUUGUUCCUUACUAUUAGGCAAACUCUUGAGAGCUAAGUGGUCAUUAGAAACAUCAAAGGCACUCCACAAGUCAGUACUUCUUGCACUUGGAGUUACUUCAACAUUCAGCACACCUCCAUGAAAUGGAGCAGGCAUUGAUAAAUCUAAUGCACAAGCAGUGGAGUCUCUAACGGCUGGCCCAUGAGGGGCAGAUUCCAUAGGUGAUGGCCAUUGCAUGACGGAGAAAGUUGGGUCCGAAUUCGAUUGAGCAUCACCCUUUAAUUGAAUCGUGUUGGAGGUAAAGUUAUUACUUCCAGUGAGUGUCACGUGCUGAGGCACAUCAAAUGUUGCCCAUCCAUCAUCCACAUCCAAUGACUUCUCAGUGACCAAUUGUUGCUGUGUCUUUUCAGGUAAAAUGUCAAAAGAAUUAUGGCCAUAAGCAGGUGUUGGUGCCAGGGUGAACUGUUCGAUGCCUGUUGUUGCUGCAUGCCGCUGCAUAUCAAAUGUUGCCCAUCCUUCAUUUUUGGAAGUGACUUCACAUGAUGGUUUUUCAUCAGCACUUACAGCUGAAGGCAGGUUUGGCACCUCUGAGAAAAAGUCCAAAGAUGAAGGUGGGAGAGUGAGCGAUGGUUGAUGUGAAUUACCAAUUGGACCAGCAGAAAUGGAUGGCUGAAAUGAUGACACUGGCAGACGAGAUUUUGUUGAAACUGAAGGUGGAGCGUUUUGAGGAACUGAGGGAGCAUUGAAUAGAUCAGGGCCAUCUGGAUUUCCGGGUCCCGAUGAUCGUUGCAAAGAGGGGAAAGUUGACAAUUUACUAGAGUGAGUCUCUAUUGUUUGAUUUGAUUCUGAAACAGCAUCCGCUAAACAAACAGAAUUUACAGACUUGAAUGACAAGGAAUUGCUGUCGAAUGAUUCAAAACUUCCAGAAGAUGCAGUUCUCUGUGCUCGUAAUAUUCUUCCAGCAUCUUUCUUGACAUGCCGUACAUCUUCGUAUGAAAUAUCCCUUGAGGUGUCACACAAGGGACUUCCGAUGCCUCUCUGGAAGUUGGGGCUCUGUGCGACUGACCUGAAUGGAUCACCACCACUAGACACAGAGUAAUCUGAAGCUCUGGGAUUAGAUCCUUCAUUACCAAACCUAUCAUCAUACAUAUUAUCACUUAAACGACUAGGACUCAAGAAACUCGACACCUUUCCUUCAUAAAGUCCCCGGUCUGAUCCUGGCUUUCUAGUGAGUGCUGGUGCAUUUUUCCCAUAACGUCGUUCUUCAUACUGAAAGUCAUAUGGUGGACUUUGAGAAUAGGAAUGAUAAGAACUUGCUCUCCUCAUAUCAUCGUCGUGGUUUCUCAAAUUCUGGAUAUCUCUAGGAGGUCUAUCAGAGGACUGCGCCCCAGCAUAUUUUUUAUCAACAUAG
rnacentral:misc_RNA from 1 species